GCGGCGUGCCUAAUACAUGCAAGUCGAGCGAACUGAUUAGAAGCUUGCUUCUAUGACGUUAGCGGCGGACGGGUGAGUAACACGUGGGCAACCUGCCUGUAAGACUGGGAUAACUUCGGGAAACCGAAGCUAAUACCGGAUAGGAUCUUCUCCUUCAUGGGAGAUGAUUGAAAGAUGGUUUCGGCUAUCACUUACAGAUGGGCCCGCGGUGCAUUAGCUAGUUGGUGAGGUAACGGCUCACCAAGGCAACGAUGCAUAGCCGACCUGAGAGGGUGAUCGGCCACACUGGGACUGAGACACGGCCCAGACUCCUACGGGAGGCAGCAGUAGGGAAUCUUCCGCAAUGGACGAAAGUCUGACGGAGCAACGCCGCGUGAGUGAUGAAGGCUUUCGGGUCGUAAAACUCUGUUGUUAGGGAAGAACAAGUACGAGAGUAACUGCUCGUACCUUGACGGUACCUAACCAGAAAGCCACGGCUAACUACGUGCCAGCAGCCGCGGUAAUACGUAGGUGGCAAGCGUUAUCCGGAAUUAUUGGGCGUAAAGCGCGCGCAGGCGGUUUCUUAAGUCUGAUGUGAAAGCCCACGGCUCAACCGUGGAGGGUCAUUGGAAACUGGGGAACUUGAGUGCAGAAGAGAAAAGCGGAAUUCCACGUGUAGCGGUGAAAUGCGUAGAGAUGUGGAGGAACACCAGUGGCGAAGGCGGC
rnacentral:rRNA from 1 species